rnacentral:rRNA from 1 species
UUUUGGACAAUGGGCGAAAGCCUGAUCCAGCAAUGCCGCGUGUGGGAAGAAGGCCUUCGGGUUGUAAACCACUUUUGUACGGAACGAAAAGGUCUGCCCUAAUACGGUGGGCCCAUGACGGUACCGUAAGAAUAAGCACCGGCUAACUACGUGCCAGCAGCCGCGGUAAUACGUAGGGUGCAAGCGUUAAUCGGAAUUACUGGGCGUAAAGCGUGCGCAGGCGGUUAUACAAGACAGGCGUGAAAUCCCCGGGCUUAACCCGGGAAUGGCGCCUGUGACUGUAUAGCUAGAGUGUGUCAGAGGGGGGUAGAAUUCCACGUGUAGCAGUGAAGUGCGUAGAUAUGUGGAGGAAUACCAAUGGCGAAGGCAGCCCCCUGGGAUAACACUGACGCUCAUGCACGAA